rnacentral:lncRNA from 1 species
UACAAAUUGUGGAAAGUCAUCCACACAUCAUAGGAAAUUGCAUCUGAAAGGACAUUCGCUGCCACUUUUAAAAUGAGAGAGGCUACAAGUGCACUUUGGAGCAAUUGAUCCAGUCGGACCUAAAACAAAGAGUUCAAUUGUACUUCGGUAGGAGAAGAAACAACAUAAGAGGUAAAAUUAUAUCCAAUCAAUAUAGAACGCCAUUGAGAAUACCACAGUUGGUAAUUGGAUAACGAGAGUUUCACAGGAGAUUGAGCAUUUGUAUUAAUAGAUAUAAGUUGUUGGUCGUUUUCUGGUAAAGUG